rnacentral:rRNA from 1 species
UCGGAUCGCAGGCUGCAACCCGCCUGCGUGAAGUCGGAAUCGCUAGUAAUCGCGGAUCAGCAUGCCGCGGUGAAUACGUUCCCGGGCCUUGUACACACCGCCCGUCACACCAUGAGAGUCGGGAACACCCGAAGUCCGUAGCCUAACUUUAACGAGGGGGCGCGGCCGAAGGUGGGUUCGAUAAUUGGGGUGAAGUCGUAACAAGGUAGC